GGAGAGUUUGAUCAUGGCUCAGAACGAACGCUGGCGGCAGGCCUAACACAUGCAAGUCGAGCGCGCCUUCGGGUGAGCGGCGGACGGGUUAGUAACGCGUGGGAACGUGCCCUUCUCUACGGAAUAGCCUCUGGAAACGGAGAGUAAUACCGUAUACGCCCUUUGGGGGAAAGAUUUAUCGGAGAAGGAUCGGCCCGCGUUAGAUUAGGUAGUUGGUGGGGUAACGGCCUACCAAGCCUACGAUCUAUAGCUGGUUUUAGAGGAUGAUCAGCAACACUGGGACUGAGACACGGCCCAGACUCCUACGGGAGGCAGCAGUGGGGAAUCUUAGACAAUGGGGGCAACCCUGAUCUAGCCAUGCCGCGUGAGUGAUGAAGGCCUUAGGGUCGUAAAGCUCUUUCGCCUGUGAUGAUAAUGACAGUAGCAGGUAAAGAAACCCCGGCUAACUCCGUGCCAGCAGCCGCGGUAAUACGGAGGGGGUUAGCGUUGUUCGGAAUUACUGGGCGUAAAGCGCGCGUAGGCGGAUUAGAAAGUUGGGGGUGAAAUCCCGGGGCUCAACCCCGGAACUGCCUCCAAAACUGCUAGUCUAGAGUUCGAGAGAGGUGAGUGGAAUUCCGAGUGUAGAGGUGAUAUUCGUAGAUAUUCGGAUUUACACCAAGUGGCGAAGGCGGCUCACUGGCUCGAUACUGACGCUGAGGUGCGAAAGUGUGGGGUGUGUACAGGUUUGGGUACCCUGG
rnacentral:rRNA from 1 species